AUAACUAUUUCGUACUCGAGUCGGCUAUUCUCUUCAUCUUGGUACAUUUCGCACCAUGUUCCCGUCAUACAGCGCCGCUUGACGUUCGUAAGAAUACGGGUCUGCUCAACGGGGGAACAAGGAGCUACAACAAACAACAAGAUACAAUUGCAUUCCUUAUCGCCAAAAAAGAGUCGUGAUGCAGCUCGUAAAUAGCGAAUACAAAAGCAGAGGCAUCACACAGAGAGCAACAGAUUCUUUCGUAUUUUGAGCGACAGUCAGAGGCGCUGUCGACAGGCCUUUAUUCACUCGUCUUCUCAAGAAUACAACCGAAUAGCUUUUAUCUAAUAUUUACAACAAUUCAGUGAAAAACUAUAACCUUCAUAGACGCUGUACAUUGGGUUUUUGUUGUUGGCGUUGUACUGGAGAAAUUGAAAGAAUGUCUUUACCUUGUUUGCAUGUUCACUGCGAUUCAAGAAUUUUUGAUCCCGGCAACUAUUCGGCGAACAAAUAUCACCAACCAGCAUCCCACGUCUGUCAAAGUCCGAAGAUAUUAUAUAUCGAAAGAGUCGCACGUGAUCGCUUUCGGGACUUUUCAGCUUUCAUCUCGACGGCACAUGUAAAGGUAAGGCCACAGAUGGCAGUUCCUAGAAAAAUUGUGUUGCACUACUCGAACAACAACAACAAAGUGGGCGAAAAUGUCAUAUCAGCUGUGCUGGCUGCCAAAACAAUGUGUGGGUUAUAUUGCUGUUCUGAACUUCUCUUCAUAAUUCUCCCACUCGGUUAUUAAACAAGCUGGCGACGGCGUGAAGAAUUCUUGGAACGGCUCAAUCACGCUGACGUUCGACUCAGAAUAGCAUAUAAAACAUCACCGACUAACGCUUGUGGUGGCCUCCAUUUGCUCAAGUAAAAAAAAAUAGAAAACAAUUGGCAGCUGUACAUGAGCUUUGGACCAAAACCGUUGCGCUUUUUUAUUUGCUUCGGCGAUUCUUCUCAAAAUCAUUUCAAGUGAAUCAAAAACGAAAGAAAAAAAACAACAACAAGCAAAAGGAAGAGAGUAUGAGGGAGGGAGGGGGGUGAGAAUGUCUCGAGAUUUUGGUAGGUCGGCCCCCUGGUCUAUCGUUUACCAUUUUUCUUUCUUUUGCUAGAAUAGACAAUAAAAACUGGGGAAAGGUAGAAAACAGGAAAAUAAUAAAAGCAGGUCGACAAUUUUUCUUUUAAGGAGAAUACAUCAAAAAAGAAAUAAAAAAAUAAAGUCACUAGGAGGUCCUGAAAAAUAAAAGUCUAAAACAGUGCCGCCGACAACGCAAGCAGUAGAUGUAUAUACUGUCUGUCUGUUUUAUAUAUAUUUUUAAAUACAUAUAGUUUUAUAUUGUCUUUAAAUUUUCGGUGUUUAUAGUAGAGCACAAACUGUGUGAUGGAUGAACCCCUAGAUUUUUUCUGAUCAUUCGAAAAUAACGGACUGGGUAUUUUGUCGUUGAAUGAAAAUAGAAAAUACCGUUCAGAUUUUAUGGAAAAAUUUUUGAUUUGUGUAUUUACAACAACUUUAGUAUUAUUAUUUUUUUGUUUUCUUUUCUUUUUUAAACGAACUCGAACUCUUUCUUCUUUUCUCCUCCGCAUAGAGAAAAAGAAGACACAUUUGGGGAGGGGCGUUACAAAAUGACACAUUUCUUAAAUAUGUUGGGAAAAUUCACUCGAUGAAUUGAACAUGUUGGUGUGUACGUUUUGAAAUAAUAAUAAAAAUUAAAGAACAUACGUAGCAGCCAAAACGGAUAAAGACGACAAUAAAAAAAAACUUAUUAAUCCGGUAGUUGACACAACAAAAUGAUUCGAUAAACCAAUCAUCGGGAAAAGGAUGGGGAGAAACGCAUGAGGUAUAAAAAUGAACGUGUUUUUCUUUCUUGCGUGUCGGCUUCACGAUGAUAAGUUGGGAAUUUUUAUGGUUUAGGUUUGUAUAGUGAUGACGAAUCGACUAGACAUGAGGGGGGGAUAAAAAAAAAACUUAAAAAAAAAACUACUUGAACUUGACAUGUAUGGUUUGAUGAGUGGAGGGGCAACGAGGUAUUUUUUUUUGUGUUUUUUGUGUGUGUGUGUGUUUUUUGAUCGGCAACCUGUUGGAAGCAGGGCAGUGAGACGUGUGUCUACGAAUGGUUUUUAAACGAAAAAAGGGGGGGGGGAAUCAAUCAGCAGUAAAACGACAGACGAUAAAAGUUAGAAGGGCACACUCUCGAGCACUUGUUUGAACUGUUGGGAAUUACAUUGUAAACAUUUUAUUUUAUUUUUUUUUUUUUGCUUUUGGAGUAAGGGGGAGGAGGGUUAAACAUUUCGGGAUUCACUUUUUUAAAAAAUUCUAUGUUAAAAAAAAAAUUUUUUUUUUGAAUUAAUGUUUGUUUAAAAAAAAAAAGAUCCAGAUUAAAUACUAUUUCUUCUUGAGAUAAAAAAAUAAAAGAAAAUUUAGCUUAUUAUAUCUGUACAUGACACUUUUGAGCCAUAAACAUUUUAAAGUAUGAUAUAGGAUAUUCUAUUUUUUUUUUUGUUAUUUUGAUAUUUUUUUUUCUAAUAAUAGUU
rnacentral:lncRNA from 1 species